rnacentral:rRNA from 1 species
AUUGAACGCUGGAGGCAGGCCUAACACAUGCAAGUCGAACGAGUGGCGGACGGGUGAGUAAUGUCUGGGAAACUGUCUGAUGGAGGGGGAUAACUACUGGAAACGGUAGCUAAUACCGCAUACCAUCAGAUGUGCCCAGAUGGGAUUGGCUAGUUGGGGGGGUAACGGCUCACCAAGGCGACGAUCCCUAGCUGGUCUGAGAGGAUGACCAGCCAAACUGGAACGGGGACACGGUCCAGACUCCUACGGGAGGCAGCAGUGGGGAAUAUUGCACAAUGGGCGCAAGCCUGAUGCGGCCAUGCCGCGUGUAUGAGGAAGGCCUUCGGGUUGUAAAGUACUUUCAGCGGGGAGGCGUUACCCGCAGAAGAAGCACCGGCUAACUCCGUGCCAGCAGCCGCGGUAAUAC